GGUUAGGUUGGGUUAGAGAUGGGGUUAGGUUGGGUUAGAGAUGGGGUUAGGUUGGGUUAGAGAUGGGGUUAGGUUGGGUUAGAGAUGGGGUUAGGUUGGGUUAGAGAUGGGGUUAGGUUGGGUUAAAGAUGGGGUUAGGUUGGGUUAGAGAUGGGGUUAGGUUGGGUUAGAGAUGGGGUUAGGUUGGGUUAAAGAUGGGGUUAGGUUGGGUUAAAGAUGGGGUUAGGUUGGGUUAGAGAUGGGGUUAGGUUGGGUUAGAGAUGGGGUUAGGUUGGGUUAGAGAUGGGGUUAGGUUGGGUUAAAGAUGGGGUUAGGUUUGAGCCAGAUGUGGUUGGAUCUGAGUCUAAGGGAAAUAUUUGAGUCUAAGUGUAACGGUUGUCUUCCUGGGAAGGAGAGGAGGACCAAAAUGCAGCGUGGUUAUUGUUAAGCGUCUUAAAUAAAG